rnacentral:rRNA from 1 species
UGAAACCGCGUCGCUAGAUGUGGUGGAGUCGUCCUUGAAAUACCACCCUUGUAGUUUUGAUGUUCUAACGUUGGUCCCUGAAUCGGGAUUACGGACAGUGCCUGGUGGGUAGUUUGACUGGGGCGGUCUCCUCCCAAAGAGUAACGGAGGAGCACGAAGGUGGGCUAAACACGGUUGGACAUCGUGUGGUUAGUGCAAUGGCAUAAGCCCGCUUGACUGCGAGAAUGACAAUUCGAGCAGGUGCGAAAGCAGGUCAUAGUGAUCCGGUGGUUCUGAAUGGAAGGGCCAUCGCUCAACGGAUAAAAGGUACUCCGGGGAUAACAGGCUGAUACCGCCCAAGAGUUCAUAUCGACGGCGGUGUUUGGCACCUCGAUGUCGGCUCAUCACAUCCUGGGGCUGAAGUCGGUCCCAAGGGUAUGGCUGUUCGCCAUUUAAAGUGGUACGCGAGCUGGGUUUAGAACGUCGUGAGACAGUUCGGUCCCUAUCUGCCGUGGGCGUUGGAAAAUUGAAAGGGGCUGCUCCUAGUACGAGAGGACCGGAGUGGACGAACCUCUGGUGUUCGGGUUGUCAUGCCAAUGGCAUUGCCCGGUAGCUAAGUUCGGAAUCGAUAACCGCUGAAAGCAUCUAAGCGGGAAGCGAGCCUUGAGAUGAGUUUUCCCUGGC